GACUGACUGAGGUUACCUUGUUACGACUUCACCCCAAUCAUCGCCCCCACCUUCGACGGUCGGUUCCUUUCGGCCCUUAGCCGGCUUCGGGUGUGAAUGACUUUCGUGGUGUGACGGGCGGUGUGUACAAGGCCCGGGAACGUAUUCACCGCAGUAUGCUGACCUGCGAUUACUAGCGAUUCCGACUUCAUGCAGGCGAGUUUCAGCCUGCAAUCCGAACUGAGAGAUGCUUUUAGGGUUCCGCUCUGCCUCGCGACUUCGCUUCCCUCUGUUCAUCCCAUUGUAGUACGUGUGUAGCCCAAGACGUAAGGGGCAUGAUGACUUGACGUCAUCCCCGCCUUCCUCCGCGUUGUCCGCGGCAGUCUACUAUGAGUUCCCACCUUUACGUGCUGGCAACAUA
rnacentral:rRNA from 1 species